ACAGCCUUCCCUUGCAGCUCCCCGUCACCCCUGGGCAAGGUCCCGGCUUCUCAGCCUGCAGUUUGAAGCCCUUUGAGAUUCCCCCGCUGGAACCAGCCUCCCCUCAGACCCUCUUCUCAGGGGGACUGCAGACUGCCCACCUCGGGAGCGGGACUGGACUCGUGGUGCCUGAAGGGGCUCCCCAUGAGGUGCUAGCCCUCCUCUAACUUAGUCUCACCAUAGCCUCCGUUCUUUCUGGGACCGGACAAGCUGCUGUUUCAGGGCGCUGGGUCUGGAUCCAGACAGCAUGGGCGCAGAUCUCUGUUCUACUACUUACUAUUUUGGGAGACCCUGAAGCUGAAGACCUUAGAAAACCUGAUCAACAUGAAGUAUGGCAUGAAGUAGUACUCAAUAAAGAGAAAACGUGAUGGUAAUCUUGAAGAAAAGCACCAUAUUCAUCCCUGUAUUUCCUUCUGUGUCCCUCUCUGUCCCUGGGGGAGGGCCUCUCUGACCAUCUCAGGCUGUCAUUGUGGGGAUUCUGGAACUCUGGAGUGGAAGGAUUCCUGAGACCUUUCCAGGGAUAUGCAAGGUCAAACACUAGUUUCAUAAUAAUCUGUACACAUUAUUUUCUUUUUUUUUUUUUUUGAGGUGGAGUUUCACUCGUGUUGUCUAGGCUGAAGUGCAAUGGCACGAUCUCAGCUCACUGCAACCUCUGUCUCCUAGGUUCAAGUCAUUCUUCUGCCUCCAUCUCCCAAGUAGCUGAGAUUACAGGCGCCUGCCACCAUGUCCAGCUAAUUUUUGUAUUUUUAGUAGAGACGUGGUUUCACCAUGUUGGCUAGGCUGGUCUUGAACUCCUGACCUUAGGUGUUCUGCCCACCUCGGCCACACAAAGUGCUGGGAUUACAGGUGUGAGCCACUGCGCCCAGCACCUUUCUCACUCUUGUUCUCUCACAAGCACAAGGUGGAAUUUUCCAGAGUCUACAUGAUGUGAUAUUGUAGCAAAUUAAACCCUAAAGCAGAUAUGAGAGUCCAGCUGUCGUCUAUUAAGCCAGACAUUAAAGAGACUUGCAAAAGCGUAUAACGUUUUUUCCUCACUAGUUUUUUGUCUUAAAAUAUAGCUGUUUUUCUUUAAAAUAUGUUAUGUUAACAUAUGUUUAUUAUUACUAUUUAAAAAUGAAUUAAUAACAAAAUAUUUGAAAGAUUUUUCAGUUUUAAUAUCUACUGUGGAAUGUAUCAAUAGAUAUAGAUAAUUGUUGGGAGCAGGCCCCCCAAAAUCUGGCCAUAAACUGGCCAUAAACAAAAUCUAUGCAGCACUGUAACAUGUUCAUAAUGGUUGUGGGUUUACGGGAAUGAGGGCAAGGAACACCUGGCCCGCCCAGGGCAGAAAACCACUUAAAGGCAUUUUUAAGCCACAAACAAUAGCAUGAGCGAUCUGUGCCUUAAGGACAUGCUCCUGCUGCAGUUAACUAGCCCAACCUAUUCCUUUAAUUCAGCCCAUCCCUUUGUUUCCCAUAAGGAAUACUUUUAGUUAAUUCCGUAUCUAUAGAAACAAGGCUAAUGACUGGUUUGCUGUUAAUAAAUAUGUGGGUAAAUCUCUGUUUGGGGCUCUCAGCUCUGAAGGCUGUGAGACCUCUGAUUUCCCACUUCAUACCUC
ensembl:lncRNA